rnacentral:rRNA from 1 species
ACAACUUUCAGCAACGGAUCUCUUGGCUCUCGCAUCGAUGAAGGACGCAGCGAAAUGCGAUAAGUAAUGUGAAUUGCAGAAUUCAGUGAAUCAUCGAAUCUUUGAACGCACCUUGCGCUCCUUGGUAUUCCGAGGAGCAUGCCUGUUUGAGUGUCAU